GAGUAGGCUUUUAAUCACUUGAAAGCAUAAACGGCAAUUGCUUAAAACGUAUUCAUUCGCCUGUUAACAAUUAGCUCAAAGCUGAAUUAGAUAGUAUCCACUGGGAGUAACAGUUCUCUGACAAGAAUCGUCGCACGCACAAUACAAAUCAGCUGUCUCCAUAGAACCGUCCACCUUACAGUAAUGUAUGCGAUCGGUUGGCAAGAUUGGUUGACACGCUUUUAACAAAUACAGCCGAAGCAAUUUCUCUACCCCGGAAUAUGAUGUCUCACCCUGAGUCACGUACGGGGCUCUGGAACUGGAAGCCGCCGGCGCCCUCAUCAUGCUGCGCUAUCAGUUCGAGGAUCAGGAAGUAGAAAACAUGUUUGCUUUUUGCUCCUCCAACUCUGUGAAACGAUUUACAAAGCCGCAGCAGAUCGUCGUCGCCAAGCGCACAUCUAAAGAGCCGUCCACCUGCUCUAAAUCCCACAAGUUCGCCAAAUCUACUACAUGAGCCCAGAACAGUGCAAACUAGAGUAAGAUGUUCUGGAAAACAAAAUGAUCUAGAGCCCCCUAGACAUAGAAGGCGAUCUCAUUGGAUUUUUUUUUUUUGUAAAAUUACUAGUACGAAUUGUAAAUCAGACAAUUCGAUUGACUUCACGCCAACAGCACAAAAUGUGCAAAGUUGGCUGCGCAUGUUAAUGUAAGAUGGCGGCUCUGUAAGCUAUUUACACAAAUGGAUGAAAACAAACAAAAAUGUUGUUACCAGUUACCCAUAGGACUAAAUAUUAUUAAGACUUCUUAAUCAAUACAAAUAUCGUUCUGCAGCAGUUGUAAUAAAAUCUGCAAAUAUAUAGUGCAUUAACAGCCGCAGCCAAGUUCAAUCCAGAAGCUGUUAACGUAACAGCCGAUCUAACAGCUUCAUUUAUCGUGUCGCAUCCCUAGCUUGCUCUGUGAAAUUUGCGUAGUUUUAAGAAAAUAAACUAAUAAAAUGGCAUUGCUUCACUCCAUCGUUAUCAUCAUCGAUACACACAUGCAGACGUAGACGAAUUCGCGGGAUGUGUGCCACAGCAGCCACUUAUUGAAGCGCACUGAAAUUUAGAUGCUAGUCCAACGAAUCGCACUAUCCGUCAUAGCUUGGCCCUUGGAAGAGUCUCAUGUCGACCAUCAAUCAAUGUCGGCAGCCUCGUGCCAUGUGGAGACACUUAUACGCUAUCACAAGAGACACCCUGGGACACGGACAAAGCUGGGGAAAUAGAAGAGGAUAAUUCACUUAUGCCCGACUGUGCGUCAAUCCACUUACGUGCCUCCGAUGGGACUUCGGAUGUAUUACAUUUGCCAGCAGCCUGCUGCGAGGCGAAAAGUUCAGCGAGGCGCUGGUGGUGGCUACGCUGAUAGGCCAACACUUUUUUACGGUUGGUCAGCUUGGUGCGAUGACGCUCCUGCAGGGAUAGAUUGUCCAGAGGCGCAUUCAAGUUCGACAAGCCAUCGAAAGUAUCAAAGUCUGCAGUUGGAAUGCGAUCCCAUUCGGGAGCUGGAACCGGAGUCUUAUUUCCGAAGGUAACUUCAGUGACGGUUUGAAUAAAAAGCUAACUUGUUCCUA